rnacentral:rRNA from 1 species
AAUAGAUACCCGGGUAGUCCACGCCGCAAACGAUGAGUGCUAAGUGUUAGAGGGUUUCCGCCCUUUAGUGCUGCAGCUAACGCAUUAAGCACUCCGCCUGGGGAGUACGGUCGCAAGACUGAAACUCAAAGGAAUUGACGGGGGCCCGCACAAGCGGUGGAGCAUGUGGUUUAAUUCGAAGCAACGCGAAGAACCUUACCAGGUCUUGACAUCCUCUGACAACUCUAGAGAUAGAGCGUUCCCCUUCGGGGGACAGAGUGACAGGUGGUGCAUGGUUGUCGUCAGCUCGUGUCGUGAGAUGUUGGGUUAAGUCCCGCAACGAGCGCAACCCUUGAUCUUAGUUGCCAGCAUUUAGUUGGGCACUCUAAGGUGACUGCCGGUGACAAACCGGAGGAAGGUGGGGAUAACGUCAAAUCAUCAUGCCCCUUAUGACCUGGGCUACACACGUGCUACAAUGGAUGGUACAAAGGGCUGCAAGACCGCAAGGUCAAGCCAAUCCCAUAAAACCAUUCUCAGUUCGGA